rnacentral:rRNA from 1 species
CCUAAUCCAUGUGAAUUUCCCUUUUUGUUGCUUCCUCUGUGGUGUCUCUUCCCCGUUCCGCGGGGUUGGGGGCGGCCUGCCGGUGGACCGCCCCGGAACUCUUGUUGUUACAGUGUCAUUCUGAAUUUAAAAACUUAAUCAGUUAAAACUUUCAACAACGGAUCUCUUGGUUCUGGCAUCGAUGAAGAACGCAGCGAAAUGCGAUAAGUAAUGUGAAUUGCAGAAUUCAGUGAAUCAUCGAAUCUUUGAACGCACAUUGCGCCCAUUAGUAUUCUAGUGGGCAUGCCUGUUCGAGCGUCAUUUCAACCCUUAAGCCCCAGUUGCUUAGUGUCGGGAGACUGCCGUAAAACGCAGCUCCUCAGAGUUAGCGGGCAGAGUUAGGUCAUACUCUACGCGUAAUAAAUCUUUACAUCUCGCUUCUUUGUAGUUGGCCUGGCCCUCGCCAUUAAACACCCCAAUUUUUCUAUGGAUGACCUCAGAUCAGGAAGGAAUACCCGCUGAACUUAAGC